rnacentral:rRNA from 1 species
GGCAGCAGUGGGGAAUAUUGCACAAUGGGCGCAAGCCUGAUGCAGCCAUGCCGCGUGUAUGAAGAAGGCCUUCGGGUUGUAAAGUACUUUCAGCAGUGAGGAAGGUGGGUAUGUUAAUAGCAUAUUCAUUUGACGUUAGCUGCAGAAGAAGCACCGGCUAACUCCGUGCCAGCAGCCGCGGUAAUACGGAGGGUGCGAGCGUUAAUCGGAAUUACUGGGCGUAAAGCGCAUGCAGGUGGUUUGUUAAGUCAGAUGUGAAAGCCCGGGGCUCAACCUCGGAAUUGCAUUUGAAACUGGCAAACUAGAGUACUGUAGAGGGGGUAGAAUUUCAGGUGUAGCGGUGAAAUGCGUAGAGAUCUGAAGGAAUACCGGUGGCGAAGGCGGCCCCCUGGACAGAUACUGACACUCAGAUGCGAAAGCGUGGGGAGCAAACAGGAUUAGAUACCCUGGUAG